UGGAACUUUAGUUGUAUGCUUGGAUAAUUUUUUUUUUUAUUCUCAUAGCAUUUAAGGUGUCUCAAUUAUUUUACUUUAGAAAAAAAAUUAAAUUCUAUAAGUAGUACCUAAUUUCAUUAUUUUCUUGCAAAACUUCGUCAGUGUGUUGUUCGACUUCCAUAGAUAUACUUAUCCCCUUUUGUUUUCCCUUGUAUGAGUCUGUAUUUUCUAGUCAAAAAUGUUGGAACUCAUGAAUUUUGAACAGCAUUAUACCUUGUGGUAGCAGAAAGCCUGACCUGGAGGCUGAUAAAAAUUAUGAUGAGCAGUCUCCACCAAAUGCAGGUAUUAUGGACCAAGAAUCCAGUGAAUUCCUUCGGUUUGAGACAUUGAGAAAUGAGCUAAUAGAACUUGAGAAAUGUGCCAAAAUAGUAUUUAUAAGUCCACAAUCAGAAAAUCAU